rnacentral:lncRNA from 1 species
CCUUAUGUUGUCUAUUUAAAGGAUCCUAGUCUUACCUAUCUCAUUAUCUCAUGAUCUCCCAUUCUUGCCACCACCCUUACUGUACCCAAUGCCUCUCCUCCUCUUCCUCUCUCUAGCCCAUGCCCUCUCUCUCUAGGCAUCCUCCCCUUAGAUCUUAGAGAGAAGUGGGCGGCAUCCCUUCUAUGGUGUCAAAGGGUUGGCAAGUUGUAGGUGAUUUCAUCUCUUUCCUCUCAAGUUUGUUG